rnacentral:rRNA from 1 species
UACGUAGGGUGCAAGCGUUGUCCGGAAUUAUUGGGCGUAAAGAGCUCGUAGGCGGUCUGUCGCGUCGGCUGUGAAAACUCGGGGCUCAACCCCGAGCCUGCAGUCGAUACGGGCAGACUAGAGUGCGGUAGGGGAGACUGGAAUUCCUGGUGUAGCGGUGAAAUGCGCAGAUAUCAGGAGGAACACCGGUGGCGAAGGCGGGUCUCUGGGCCGUAACUGACGCUGAGGAGCGAAAGCAUGGGGAGCGAACAGG